rnacentral:rRNA from 1 species
UUCGGAUUGUAGUCUGCAACUCGACUACAUGAAGCUGGAAUCGCUAGUAAUCGCAGAUCAGAAUGCUGCGGUGAAUACGUUCCCGGGUCUUGUACACACCGCCCGUCACACCAUGGGAGUCGGAAAUGCCCGAAGCCGGUGACCCAACCAAAAGGAGGGAGCCGUCGAAGGCAGGUCUGAUAACUGGGGUGAAGUCGUAACAAGGUAAC